GCCACAUUAUAUAUUGUUUGAAAGUUACAUCGUUGAAAUAACUUGCCAAGAUAACAUCAUAAUCCGCAUGGUAAAGUUUUGGAAGGGCAUAGGUCAUGGUAACAAUAUAAUAUAUUCUUUGGUAAGUGGGUUGUGAUUUUUUGCAUUGAAGCAACGACAGAAACCAAUUUCCCAAGAGAGUUGUGAUGAUGGAGUUACUGGGUUUUGUACCAAUUCUUCUCUUCACCUUCGCCUUUCUUCAAACUCUGAUUUUUAUUUUGAAGGGAAGCCAAAAAAGAAGAACGGGCAAACUUCCACCGGGUCCAG
rnacentral:misc_RNA from 1 species